AGUGAACGCUGGCGGUAGGCCUAACACAUGCAAGUCGAACGGCAGCACAGUAAGAGCUUGCUCUUACGGGUGGCGAGUGGCGGACGGGUGAGGAAUACAUCGGAAUCUACUUUUUCGUGGGGGAUAACGUAGGGAAACUUACGCUAAUACCGUAUACGACCUACGGGUGAAAGCAGGGGAUCUUCGGACCUUGCGCGAUUGGAUGAGCCGAUGUCGGAUUAGCUAGUUGGCGGGGUAAAGGCCCACCAAGGCGACGAUCCGUAGCUGGUCUGAGAGGAUGAUCAGCCACACUGGAACUGAGACACGGUCCAGACUCCUACGGGAGGCAGCAGUGGGGAAUAUUGGACAAUGGGCGCAAGCCUGAUCCAGCCAUACCGCGUGGGUGAAGAAGGCCUUCGGGUUGUAAAGCCCUUUUGUUGGGAAAGAAAAGCAGCAGGUUAAUACCCCGCUGUUCUGACGGUACCCAAAGAAUAAGCACCGGCUAACUUCGUG
rnacentral:rRNA from 1 species